rnacentral:rRNA from 1 species
UACGUAGGGGGCUAGCGUUGUCCGGAUUUAUUGGGCGUAAAGAGCGUGUAGGCGGCCAGGUAGGUCUGCUGUGAAAACUCGAGGCUCAACCUCGAGAUGUCGGCGGAAACCAUCUGGCUAGAGUCCGGAAGAGGAAAGUGGAAUUCCUGGUGUAGCGGUGAAAUGCGCAGAUAUCAGGAAGAACACCCGUGGCGAAGGCGGCUCUCUGGGACGGUACUGACGCUGAGACGCGAAAGCGUGGGGAGCGAACAGG